rnacentral:rRNA from 1 species
CCUACGGGUGGCAGCAGUGGGGAAUAUUGCACAAUGGGGGAAACCCUGAUGCAGCGACGCCGCGUGAGUGAAGAAGUAAUUCGUUAUGUAAAGCUCUAUCAGCAGGGAAGAAAAUGACGGUACCUGAGUAAGAAGCCCCGGCUAACUACGUGCCAGCAGCCUCGGUAAUACGUAGGGGGCAAGCGGUAUCCGGAUUUACUGGGUGGAAAGGGAGCGUAGACGGCAGUGCAAGUCUGGAGUGAAAGGCGGGGGCUCAACCCUCGGACUGCUCUUGAAACUGUACGGCUGGAGUGCAGGAGAGGUAAGUGGAAGUCCUAGUGUAGCGGUGAAAUGCGUAGAUAUUAGGAGGAACACCAGUGGCGAAGGCGGCUUACUGGACUGUAACUGACGUUGAGGCUCGAAAGCGUGGGGAGCAAACAGGAUUAGAUACCCCGGUAGUC